GAUGAACGCUAGCGGGAGGCCUAACACAUGCAAGCCGAGCGGUAGAGUCUCUUCUUAGACUUGAGAGCGGCGCACGGGUGCGGAACACGUGUGCAACCUGCCUUUAUCUGGGUGAUAGCCUUUCGAAAGGAAGAUUAAUACCCCAUAAUAUACUGCAUGGCAUCAUCUGGUAUUGAAAACUCCGGUGGAUAGAGAUGGGCACGCGCAAGAUUAGAUAGUUGGUGAGGGAACGGCUCACCAAGUCAGCGAUCUUUAGGGGGCCUGAGAGGGUGAUCCCCCACACUGGGACUGGGACACGGACCAGACUGCUACGGGAGGCAGCAGUGAGGAAUAUUGGACAAGGGGUGAGAGCCUGAUCCAGCCAUCCCGCGUGAAGGACGACGGCCCUAGGGGUUGUAAACUUCUUUUGUAUAGGGAUAAACCUAGAUACGUGUAUCUAGCUGAAGGUACUAUACGAAUAAGCACCGGCUAACUCCGUG
rnacentral:rRNA from 1 species